GACGAACGCUGGCGGCGUGCUUAACACAUGCAAGUCGAACGGAAAGGCCCUGCUUUUGUGGGGUGCUCGAGUGGCGAACGGGUGUGUAACACGUGAGUAACCUGCCCUUGACUUUGGGAUAACUUCAGGAAACUGGGGCUAAUACCGGAUAGGAGCUCCUGCUGCAUGGUGGGGGUUGGAACGUUUCGGCGGUUGGGGAUGGACUCGCGGCUUAUCAGCUUGUUGGUGGGGUAGUGGCUUACCAAGGCUUUGACGGGUAGCCGGCCUGAGAGGGUGACCGGCCACAUGGGGACUGAGAUACGGCCCAGACUCCUACGGGAGGCAGCAGUGGGGAAUAUUGCACAAUGGGCGGAAGCCUGAUGCAGCAACGCCGCGUGCGGGAUGACGGCCUUCGGGUUGUAAACCGCUUUCGCCUGUGACGAAGCGUGAGUGACGGUAAUGGGUAAAGAAGCACCGGCUAACUACGUG
rnacentral:rRNA from 1 species